GAUGGAAGCGUUGGUGUAAGUGCUUGGAUAAUCGGACGUCAUUGGUGGAAUUGUGAUCUGUUGUGCACAAAAAUCGGAAAAUUUGUUAGCCGCGUUGUUGUUGCUGUACAGAUAUGUCGACAUAGAAGAGAGAUCAAGUAGUUUCAACAGGAAGAGGAUUCUGAUACAAGUUUCAUUGAAGCUUAUUUGUUGAAUAAAAAGACAGAAGAAGAGUGAAGCCAAUCCCAUUCCAGUUCCAGCCAAUAAGGGUUUAUUGGUCAAUACAUGAGUUUUGCCAUUAAUGCGUUGUAAGGCUAAUCAUUAACCAUGUAAAUCUUGAAACUUUCAAAGAUUUCAAUGCUAUGACAUUGUUUUAGCCUUUUAGGACAAUUGAACUAUAGAUAAGAUCAUUACAAUCUUGAAAGUGAUCGUCUAGCUGAAAUUUGGGGAGAUUUCUUAUAAGGGGCUUCACUUACAUCUCUAACCUUAUAAUCAGUUGCCAUGUUAUCAAUACACAACUUCCAUCUCAUUAACAUCAGGUUGUGAUCUUUCUUGAAGGCGUAUUGAAAUUUGGGGAGAUUUCU